GACGAACGCUGGCGGCGUGCUUAACACAUGCAAGUCGAACGGAAAGGCCCUUCGGGGUACUCGAGUGGCGAACGGGUGAGUAACACGUGGGUGAUCUGCCCUGCACUUUGGGAUAAGCCUGGGAAACUGGGUCUAAUACCGGAUAGGACUACGGGCUGCAUGGUCUGUGGUGGAAAGCUUUUGCGGUGUGGGAUGGGCCCGCGGCCUAUCAGCUUGUUGGUGGGGUGAUGGCCUACCAAGGCGACGACGGGUAGCCGGCCUGAGAGGGUGACCGGCCACACUGGGACUGAGAUACGGCCCAGACUCCUACGGGAGGCAGCAGUGGGGAAUAUUGCACAAUGGGCGCAAGCCUGACGCAGCGACGCCGCGUGAGGGAUGACGGCCUUCGGGUUGUAAACCUCUUUCAGUGCCGACGAAGCGCAAGUGACGGUAGGCAUAGAAGAAGGACCGGCCAACUACGUGCCAGCCGCCGCAGUAA
rnacentral:rRNA from 1 species